UUUUCAAAUUGGACCUGAUAUCA
rnacentral:misc_RNA from 1 species